AACGAACGCUGGCGGCAUGCCUAACACAUGCAAGUCGAACGAGACCUUCGGGUCUCGUGGCGCACGGGUGCGUCACGCGUGGGAAGCUGCCCUUAGGUUCGGGAUACCUCCCCGAAAGGGGUGAUAAUACCGGAUAAUGUCUUCGGACAAAAGAUUUAGCGCCCUUGGAGGGGCGCGCGUUGGUUUAACUGGUUGGGAGGGUAAAAGCCUAACACGGCGCGGAUCGAGAGCUGGUGUGAGAGGAAGAUCAGCCACUCUGGGAGUGAGACACGGCACAGACUCCUAGGGGAAGGAGCAGUGGAGAAUAUAGCAAAAGGGGCUAGAGCCAGAUCGAGCUAGGGCGUGGGAGUGAUGAAGGCCGGAGGGUUGUACAGCUCUUUUACCCGGGGUGAUAAUGACGGUACCGGAAGAAUAAGCACCGGCUAACUCCGUG
rnacentral:rRNA from 1 species